rnacentral:rRNA from 1 species
AAGCUCGUAGUUGAAUUUCGGGAUUAGUACGUUGGUCGUGCCUUAGGUACGUACUGGUGUUACUGGUUCCUACCUUCUGACGAACCAUCAUGUCAUUAAUUUGGUGUGGUGGGGAAUCAGGACUGUUACUUUGAAAAAAUUAGAGUGUUUAAAGCAGGCUCGCGCUUGAAUACAUUAGCAUGGAAUAAUGAAAUAGGACGUUGAUCCUAUUUUGUUGGUUUCUAGGAUUGACGUAAUGAUUAAUUGGGAUAGUUGGG